CCAAACUUGGUCAUUUAGAGGAAGUAAAAGUCGUAACAAGGUUUCCGUAGGUGAACCUGCGGAAGGAUCAUUAGUGAAUAAACUCGUGUGGGUUGUUGCUGACCUCUUCGGAGGUAUGUGCACGCCUGCCGUUGUUUCAUUCUCCCUUCCACCUGUGCACUUAUUGUAGAUCAAGCAACUGCACUUCAGGCAUUCGCUGCCUGGCAUGAGGACUUGCAAGUUACUUGCUGUCCUUGAGUGGCCUGGUCUAUGUCUUUAUCAACUCCAUUGUAUGUGAUUGAAUGUAUGUUCUGGGUUCUUUACAGGCCCAUAAAACCUUAUACAACUUUCAACAACGGAUCUCUUGGCUCUCGCAUCGAUGAAGAACGCAGC
rnacentral:misc_RNA from 1 species